UCCAAGGAGUGCCCUAAACACGCAGUGGGGAAGAGACCUGCCGUAUCCUCAUAAGGCUCUGAGUUCAAACCUUAGCCUCGGCAUGGUGCUCUACCCAACUUUUUCUUUUUUUAGUACUUGGAAAACAUUAACAUCUAUAAUAAAUCCAAAAAUCUCAUCCAUUAUUCUCUAAGAGACCAACAUACAAAAUUGACGAAACACAAAGUCACGGUCUCACAACAUGUAAUUAAACGGGCUACACGUGUUUCGCUCUAGUUAGAGCAUCAUCAGGCCUUUAGAAGCCAUCCACACACUUAUGCUGUAACUGAUGAUGCUCUAACUAGAGCGAAACACGUGUAGCCCGUUUAAUUACAUGUUGUGAGACCGUGACUUUGUGUUUUUCUUUGUUUUUCGUCAAUCUAUAGUAAAUACAGAGAGAAAAGGAAAGGUCUUAUUAUAUAUUAUAAUCAAAAAUAAAUUUCAUUGAAAUAUUACUAACUUAUUUCUGGGUAUCAUGCUUCAGAGAACCAUGAUGUGUUACAAUACGCUCCGCUCUUUAAUUUUAGUUUAGUAGAAAAUAUUCUCAAAACCUACAUAUAUCAAAAUUAUGUCAGGGUUCUAAAAUGAAUCGGUAAUAAAAUCGUAAACCAGAUCAACAUUGGAAAUAAUUUAAAAAAUUUGCUUUGGUCCGAUUGAAAAAAGUACUAUACUACCAAAUAGUUACAUCUAUUCUGUAGCAAUAAAAGUUAUAAAAUUCUGUCUAUUAUUAAUUUUAAUAUUAUAAAGUGUAUCGUUUAACUCUUAGCCAUUAUUUAUAAUUUAAUUGUUAAUUAUGCCUAAAAAAACGAAUUAACAAUUUUGGUAUUGUUUGGAAGGUAAACAGCUUAAUUCCUUUAUGUAAAGCCACCUUAACAUGUUUUUGCAUAAUUCUGACUCACGUUGGUUGCUAUCGGGCUUAAGCCAUAAAAAUCGAAGAAAAAAAGAAGAAGACGAAGAGACUUUCACUUGUCAUUUCAAUGUCACUUUCCGGCCCACAAGCAUAAACGCCACCGGCAACGGAAGUUCCCAAAAUCCAAACAAAUGUUGGAAGAUAUUUUUAAGUCUCCGCAUCUUUCUUACUUUCCUAUAUGAAAAUAAAAUGUAAGUAUCACAAUUACACACAUACAAGUUUUUUUUUUUAAUUCAGUUUCAUAAUUACCAAUUUUUAGUGAAUAAUCCUGAAAUUUAUGAAAAUACAUACAUUUUAAGGUUAUGUCAUAAUGUUUUGAUUGUUAUAUUUGAUUUUGUUUUUGUUAUUUUAGUGGACUACACCAACAAAGGUUAUGUGUUUUGCACCAGAUUGAAAGCAUCAUAGCGAAAAACGGACCUGUCAUAUCUUUAAAUUUUCAAAAGAGCCCCUGGAAAAAGAAAAAUGAAUAUCUUUGCCAAGGAAUAGGUACUAAGGUAUUUUUACUAAAUCUUUCAUUUUUUUUAAUACCUAAAUGAGGUAAUUUAUAAAUUUUGUUCCUUGUAGGCAAAUGGAUAAAAAACCUUCAGUCCAUGCAUUGGUAUGUAAUUGUUGACAAAAAUACAAUGAAUGGCCUCACUACUUUUCCACAUGCAAAGAGGUUAACCAAGGAGAAAUUAAAGAAAUUGUCAAAAACCUAGGUAAAUACAGAAUUGCUUAGUACAAACAUAUCUAUACCCAGUACAAGUUCGUCCACUUCUUUGAAGCAUGGUACUUCAAACAGAAACACUGUCAACAAUUUUGUAGAAGGUGAGCCGGUGUCAAAUUCCAGUAAGAGACAUGAUUUCAAUUUUGCACCAACAGCAGAGCUAAAAUUCAUUUUGCCGCAAAAAACUGGAGGAUGUGAAAGAAAAAAGUGCAGAAGUUAAAAUUAAGUUUUUCAUAUGAGCACAUAAAAAAUAAUCAUGACAAAGUUCAGUUGUAUACAGGUUUGACAUGUAAUAAAUAUUUUUGUAAUCUUAUUAAGUUAAUUAGUUUUAUAUAUUAUUUAAAUAAUAAUUGUAUACUUCACAUAGAAUAUGCAGAAAUUAUAUGUACAUAUAUAAAUUUUUUUUAUUAAGAUAAGGACAACAUGUAUUAAAGCAUAACACAUAAUAUAAACACACACGUAAUAUCUUCAUUAAAAAUUAUGAUUGUAUGUUAUGUAGCAUUAGAGCCUAAAAACAUUAAGGAGAAUAAAGGUCGUUAUUGGCAAAUGACAA
rnacentral:lncRNA from 1 species